GGGGGGGGGGGGGUGGUGGUGGUGUGUGUUUUUCUCCCCCCCCCCCCCCUCUUUUCUGGGGUGUGUUGGGGGGGGAACCCCCCCCCCCCACAAAAAAGGGGGGGGGGGCUUAUUAUCCCCGGGAAAUUUUUUUUUCUUUCUUUAUAAGAAGGGGGGAAAAAAAACAAAAGGGGGGGUUUUUGGGUUAUUCCCUUUAGGGGGGGGGCCCCGGGUUUUGGGAUAGGGUUAGUUGGGGAGGGGAAACGGCCUACCCAAAAACCAAUUGUCCGGUAGCUGGUUUUGGAAGGGCGGCCCAGCCCCCUUUGGAAUGGGAAUUCGGGCCAGGACUCUUACGGGGAGCCAGCAGUGGGGAAUUUUGCGCAAUGAGCGAAGGCUGAACGCAGCAACGCCGCGUGAUCGAAGAAGCUCUGCGGAGUGUAAAGAUCUGUCAUAGGGNAAGAUAAGUCCGUUAUACNNACCAUCGGGAUGUGACGUACCCCUAUAAGAAAGCCCCCGCUACUUUCGUGCCAGCAGCGCNGGUAAUACGAGGGGGGCAAGCGUGUCCNGGAUUAUUUGGGCGUAAAGAGUUCGUAGGCUGGUUGGUCAGUCGAAAUUGAAAUCCCACGGCUUANCCGUGGAUCCGGUUUCGAUACUGCCAAUCUGNAGUGAGGUAGAGGUAAGCGGAAUUCCUGGUGUAGCGGUGAAAUGCGUAGAUAUCAGGAGGAACACCAAAGGCGAAGGCAGCUUACUGGACCUAUACUGACGCUGAGGAACGAAAGCGUGGGGAGCAAACAGGAUUAGAGACCCUGGUAGUCCACGCCGUAAACGAUGAGUACUUGGUGGUGGGGGAUUCGACCCCUUCACUGUCGGAGCUAACGCGUUAAGUACUCCGCCUGGGAACUACGACCGCAAGGUUGAAACUCAAAGGAAUUGACGGGGACCCGCACAAGCGGUGGAUUAUGUGGUUUAAUUCGAUGCAACGCGAAGAACCUUACCUGGACUUGACAUGUUAGUGAAACUCUGGUGAAAGCCAGAGCUUCUGAGAGCUUGCUCAAGGACACUAUCACAGGUGAUGCAUGGCUGUCGUCAGCUCGUGUCGUGAGAUGUUCGGUUAAGUCCGAUAACGAGCGCAACCCCUAUCCUUAGUUGCCAGCACGUAAUGGUGGGGACUCUAGGGAAACUGCCCGGGAUAACCGGAAGGAAGGUGGGGUCGACGUCAAGUCAGUAUGUCCCUUACGUUCAGGGCUACACACGUAAUACAAUGGGGAGUACAGAGGGUAGCAAUACUGCGAAGUGGAGCCAAUCCCAAAAAACUUCCCCAAGUUCGGAUUGCAGUCUGCAACUCGACUGCAUGAAGCAGGAAUCGCUAGUAAUCGCGCAUCAGCAUGNCGCGGUAUCGCCCCC
rnacentral:rRNA from 1 species